AUUGAACGCUGGCGGCAUGCCUUACACAUGCAAGUCGAACGGUAACGCGGGGCAACCUGGCGACGAGUGGCGAACGGGUGAGUAAUGUAUCGGAACGUGCCCAGUUGUGGGGGAUAACUGCUCGAAAGAGCAGCUAAUACCGCACACGACCUGAGGGUGAAAGCGGGGGAUCGCAAGACCUCGCGCAAUUGGAGCGGCCGAUAUCAGAUUAGGUAGUUGGUGGGGUAAAGGCCCACCAAGCCAACGAUCUGUAGCUGGUCUGAGAGGACGACCAGCCACACUGGGACUGGGACACGGCCCAGACUCCUACGGGAGGCAGCAGUGGGGAAUUUUGGACAAUGGACGCAAGUCUGAUCCAGCCAUGCCGCGUGCGGGAAGAAGGCCUUCGGGUUGUAAACCGCUUUUGUCAGGGAAGAAACGCUCUGGGUUAAUACCUCGGGGUAAUGACGGUACCUGAAGAAUAAGCACCGGCUAACUACGUGCCAGCAGCCGCGGUAAUAC
rnacentral:rRNA from 1 species